CCUACGGGUGGCAGCAGUGGGGAAUUUUGGACAAUGGGCGCAAGCCUGAUCCAGCUAUUCCGCGUGUGGGAUGAAGGCUCUCGGGUUGUACACCACUGUUGUAGAGAACGAAAAGACACCUUUUACUAAAGGGUGUUGCUGACGGUAAUCUAAGAAUAAGCACCGGCUAACUACGUGACAGCAGCCGCGGUAAUACGUAGGGUGCGAGCGUCAAUCGGAAUUACUGGGAGUAAAGGGUGCGCAGGCGGUUGAGUAAGACAGUUGUGAAAUCACCGAGCUUAACUCGGGAAUGGCAUAUGUGACUGCUCGACUAGAGUGUGUCAGAGGGAGGUGGAAUGCCACGUGUAGCAGUGAAAUGCGUAGAUAUGUGGAAGAACACCGAUGGCGAAGGCAGCCUCCUGGGACAUAACUGACGCUCAGGCACGAAAGCGUGGGGAGCAAACAGGAUUAGAUACCCUUGUAGUC
rnacentral:rRNA from 1 species